UAUGCAUAGCAGUUAAUUUCUUCAUAUUAUAUCGAAGUUUCAUUUAUAAUUGCUCUAGAGGCAGUCCUUUGCAAGGACCUUUACAAUAUGGCACAUGCAUGGGUCGACCCGUAAGCAUUUCAUGCGGUGUUAAGUGCAUGUUCCUGUUAGUUUGCAUGCGAUAGCUUAUUAGUGCAAGAGGUAAAGCAUUAAUCCAAUUAAAUUUAGUACUUUGACAUAUUUUGUUUACUUUGGCCUUGAUAGUUCUGUUUAAUUUUUCUUAUCACUUUGUUCUGUUUCAUUUGUUUAAUUUUCCUCAUAAUUUUCCUUAUCAAUUCUCCUUAUCAAUUCCCCCCUCGCGCAAUGGUCAAAACCAUGCGCAUCUGCAACAAGAAUAUUCAUAAGUUAAGUAGGUGCAACAAUGUUUCCUUCAUGUGUACGCCAGAUCUCUUGUUAGUCUUUUUUAGCUUCCCUUCUGUUACACAUUUAUUGUUCAUAGGGGCCUGCUUGUUGUUUAAUUCGAAUUAUAUAAUCCAAUUGAGUUUGAGGUUCAAUAUGUACUACAGGUGCUAAUAUGGCUACCUGACACCCUAAAGCUUUUUUAUCUUCAACAUCCACUGUAAUAUAUCCCUUAAUGACACUGUUUACCUGUAUAUGUAAACAAAUACCUUCUCUCUUCUGCAAGCAGCACACUGUAGUAAACUAAAUAAAGAUCAGUUAUGGUAAAAUAUUUGGCAUCAGUAGGGACAUUCAUCAGUAAUGUGUGCGGGUUUGGAACUUCAACUGGCAAAUUAUUUCAUUUAUUAUUUAUAAGUCUUUUUCAUCGUUCAUCCUAUAUUUUUUGUUUCCCAUUUUUUUCUACAUAUUCUGCAAUAUGUCGGACAGAAUUAGUUAUUAAAAAUAUUAAUUUUAACAAAUUCACCAUCGGGUAUUUAUAGCUGCUCCGUUUACCUGUUAUAAUGUACUUGGAGACACAAUUUGCUGUCCUUUGGUUUCUUUCUGCCAUUUUUGUUCUAUUUUCUCAUCUCUCUGUUAAUCAUUUAUCAUUGUGCAUUGAAAUUCUGAUUUUAGUAGCUGUGCUUCAGGAAUCUGUUCUUCAAUAAACACAGACCCUUACAUGCAAUGCAUUUAUGGCUACACCAUUUAGUCUUAAUUUAGGUCACCUAUCAAGGCCUUUCUAACAUUAUAUUAAAUAUGUGCAUGCAAUUUUUCUUCUGGAAACAAA
ensembl:lncRNA